AUUGAACGCUGGCGGCAGGCCUAACACAUGCAAGUCGGACGGUAGCACAGAGGAGCUUGCUCCUUGGGUGACGAGUGGCGGACGGGUGAGUAAUGUCUGGGGAUCUGCCCGAUAGAGGGGGAUAACCACUGGAAACGGUGGCUAAUACCGCAUAACGUCGCAAGACCAAAGAGGGGGACCUUCGGGCCUCUCACUAUCGGAUGAACCCAGAUGGGAUUAGCUAGUAGGCGGGGUAAUGGCCCACCUAGGCGACGAUCCCUAGCUGGUCUGAGAGGAUGACCAGCCACACUGGAACUGAGACACGGUCCAGACUCCUACGGGAGGCAGCAGUGGGGAAUAUUGCACAAUGGGCGCAAGCCUGAUGCAGCCAUGCCGCGUGUAUGAAGAAGGCCUUCGGGUUGUAAAGUACUUUCAGCGGGGAGGAAGGCGACGGGGUUAAUAACCCUGUCGAUUGACGUUACCCGCAGAAGAAGCACCGGCUAACUCCGUGCCAGCAGCCGCGGUAAUACGGAGGGUGCAAGCGUUAAUCGGAAUUACUGGGCGUAAAGCGCACGCAGGCGGUCUGUUAAGUCAGAUGUGAAAUCCCCGGGCUUAACCUGGGAACUGCAUUUGAAACUGGCAGGCUUGAGUCUUGUAGAGGGGGGUAGAAUUCCAGGUGUAGCGGUGAAAUGCGUAGAGAUCUGGAGGAAUACCGGUGGCGAAGGCGGCCCCCUGGACAAAGACUGACGCUCAGGUGCGAAAGCGUGGGGAGCAAACAGGAUUAGAUACCCUGGUAGUCCACGCCGUAAACGAUGUCGACUUGGAGGUUGUUCCCUUGAGGAGUGGCUUCCGGAGCUAACGCGUUAAGUCGACCGCCUGGGGAGUACGGCCGCAAGGUUAAAACUCAAAUGAAUUGACGGGGGCCCGCACAAGCGGUGGAGCAUGUGGUUUAAUUCGAUGCAACGCGAAGAACCUUACCUACUCUUGACAUCCACGGAAUUUGGCAGAGAUGCCUUAGUGCCUUCGGGAACCGUGAGACAGGUGCUGCAUGGCUGUCGUCAGCUCGUGUUGUGAAAUGUUGGGUUAAGUCCCGCAACGAGCGCAACCCUUAUCCUUUGUUGCCAGCGAUUCGGUCGGGAACUCAAAGGAGACUGCCGGUGAUAAACCGGAGGAAGGUGGGGAUGACGUCAAGUCAUCAUGACCCUUACGAGUAGGGCUACACACGUGCUACAAUGGCGCAUACAAAGAGAAGCGACCUCGCGAGAGCAAGCGGACCUCACAAAGUGCGUCGUAGUCCGGAUCGGAGUCUGCAACUCGACUCCGUGAAGUCGGAAUCGCUAGUAAUCGUGGAUCAGAAUGCCACGGUGAAUACGUUCCCGGGCCU
rnacentral:rRNA from 1 species